GGUUAAAAAGCUCGUAGUUGGAUUUCUGUUGAGGUCGACCGGUGUACACUUCGUGUAUUAUCAGGUUCGGUCUCGGCAUCCUCCAGGGGAACGUUCCUGGACUUUAUUGGACAGGGCGAGAUUCUGGACUUUUACUUUGAGGAAAUUAGAGUGUUCACGGCAGGCAAGUGCUUUGAAUACAUUAGCAUGGAAUAAUAAUAUAGGACCUUCGUUCUAUUUUGUUGGUUUCUAGAACUUAGGUAAUGAUUAAUAGGGACAAUUGGGGGCAUUCGUAUUAACGCGUCAGAGGUGGAAUUCUUGGAUUGCGUUACGACGAACUACUGCGAAAGCAUUUGCCAAAGAUGUUUUCAUUGAUCAAGAACGAAAGUAUGGGGAUCGAAGACGCUUAGAUACCGUCGUAGUCUAUACCAUAAACUAUGCCAACUAG
rnacentral:rRNA from 1 species